UCGUAAAAUAAAUAAAAUUUGAUAUGUAAACAAAAUAUGAUUACGUCAUUUUAAAAAGUACUCAUUGUACAUGUAAAUGCUUAAAACAUGUAGCAUAUUUAAUUUGGUUGGAUUAUAGGUUUCAUUCAUUCAUUCACAUCUAUUUUUUAUGACGUAAAGGGCUUGAAAAAUGUCGAUAAGUUUAUCGAUAUACCAAACAAACUGAAACUGAAAUUAUUCAAAUUAAUUUAAGAUUUCCAGUGGAUCCAAAUAGAAGGAGAAAGUGGAUAGAGGCAGUCAGAAGACAAAAUACGUGGAUUCCAACUAAAAACCACUGCAUUUGUAGCAUUCAUUUUGCGGAAGAAUGCUACAAUGCCAAUUCUACGAAACAGAGAAAACUGCACAAAGAUUCUUUACCUACAUUGAAUUUGCCUAAAUUUGUUUUAUUUUCGGUAUGCAAUACCGAGGUGGAACCUUUUAGAUCUGUGUCAUCCCUCACGUUUAGUGAAAUACCGGGGUGGUUGGAACUUGAUUUGGUCCAUCCUGUCAUCAACUGUUUUUCAAUGGGACGACUUCUGAACAUCAGAGAUCUUAACUGUCAAGAUAAGUGAAUUAGGCCACUGAACUUUUCAAAACAAAACCAACACAGGUGAAAUAUCUGAGCAUCUCCCUUGACAACAAAUUGAACUGGGCGAGUCAUAUCGACAACAUGCAUAGUGCCUAGCAAACAUAGCGGCCAUGGGUUGUAUGAGAACCACUCUAUCGGCAUCACUUGACUUCUUUCUGAAUCUCAGACAUUUAGACCUCAUUAUUCAGGAGGAAGCACAAGCACCCACUCUAAGACUUAAAGGAAACGAUCUAUGAAAGCAAAACAAGGAGACAGGAUAUUCCGCGAUUCUGCACAAAACCCUAAAAGAAAUACCCCUCAUCAACAGGAUAGGUACCCUGUGUACACAUCUUCGACCAAAGAUAAUAUCCAGCUUACAGCGGAAACGCGAAAUUGCUCUGGAAUCAAUGAAGUUAGGAUAUACCGACGUCUUCAAAACCGAAAUAAGUACUGGGAGGUCUUCUCGAAUGACCUAAACAUAAGAAUAUCAACAACAUUAGAUAAGAAUUAAAUAAUAUCAGAUAGUGCAUCCGUACUGCAAGCGCUACAAAGCAAUACAUUGUCAUAAUGUUAUCAAAUUGUGUUUCAUGAAAUGUAUAGAAAUAGGCUAUUGAUGAAACUUUUGUCCGUGACGUGAGACAGAUUAUAACAUUUGUUGAGACCAAAAGCUAGUUAGCAGUCGAUCGUAACAGAAUAUUACUUGUUUAUUGCUUUACGAAUUUUAUAAUAAUAACACAGCAAAAAAAUAUUUCACCUAGUUACCUACCUAUAUGAAUAAUUUGUAAUAUUAUUUGUACCUAUGAUUUACCAAUGGCACUAUAAUAAACACGAUACAAUAAUUAA